CUUGUUCUCGAGACGAGAGCUUGGGCCGCCUAUGGGGGAACUUCAGGAGCUCUCACGGAGAUCUACUAGAUCCAGAGCCCGCGAUCUAAAGUUUUCCAUCUCCUUCUAACCCGACGCUUAAAUGGAAGAAAUAAACGAAAUGCUUGUCAUGGAGCUUCGUGCGUUUCCCCGAUAAUACAUACAGCGCCUCCAAAACAGUUACGGGCUGAACUGUUGAAGAAAGAGUGAAGCCAGAGCAUUUAGCAUUUAUCGCAGUGGUGAAGCAGUUCAAGAAAUGACCUGUUCACUGAUCAGCCCGGG